GGCGAGGGGAGUGAAAAAGAACCUGAAACCGUGUACGUACAAGCAGUGGGAGCACAGGUUUACCUGUGUGACUGCGUACCUUUUGUAUAAUGGGUCAGCGACUUAUAUUCUGUAGCAAGGUUAACCGCAUAGGGGAGCCGGAGGGAAACCGAGUCUUAAUUGGGCGUUAAGUUGCAGGGUAUAGACCCGAAACCCGGUGAUCUAGCCAUGGGCAGGUUGAAGGUUGGGUAACACUAACUGGAGGACCGAACCGACUAAUGUUGAAAAAUUAGCGGAUGACCUGUGGCU
rnacentral:rRNA from 1 species